UAAAUUCUACGUAUAAACUCUACAUAUCAAAAUUAAGGCGGUGUAGUUUUAAUUUCACAAAUCAAGUGAUAAUGAACUGACCCCUAAUUACUCUCUCUACAGUCCCUUUCUUCCUCAACUUCUUUCUCUCUCUACAUUUCCUAUCUUGCUCAACUUCUACGUUGAUGAUUUUAUUGUAACCCAAUCGUAAAUUUGUAGUUUAUGAAGGUGAAGGCUAUGUUGAUUGACGGUGACAUUGGGGGCGAUCUAUUCGAAUUAAAGAAGGUGAAAUCAGAAUCUACAGACGUACUCUGCUUGUGAUUGUUGGAAGAUGGAAGACAGAAGAUACAAUGAAGGGUGGUGCUGCGGGUGUGAGCGCUGGUGGUCAUCGGAUGGCUACAAAUCUGACGAUCGUCGGUGGUUUUAGUAAGGUGGAGAUCGUGGUUGCGGGAUGUUGUGG
rnacentral:lncRNA from 1 species